rnacentral:rRNA from 1 species
UACGAAGGGUGCUAGCGUUGCUCGGAAUCACUGGGCUUAAAGCGUCCGUAGGCGGCUCGGAAAGUAGGGUGUGAAAUCCCACGGCUCAACCGUGGAAUUGCGCUCUAAACUAUCGAGCUAGAGGGAGAUAGAGGUGAGCGGAACUGAUGGUGGAGCGGUGAAAUGCGUUGAUAUCAUCAGGAACACCGGAGGCGAAGGCGGCUCACUGGGUCUUUUCUGACGCUGAGGGACGAAAGCUAGGGGAGCGAACGGG